rnacentral:lncRNA from 1 species
UUUGUUUAUUAUUUGAGAUGGGACAUUAAUUGCGAGCUGGCAAAGCUAACUGUUUUCCGAGCUGAAUUAAUGACUGAUGUUUGACAACAGAUGGAUGGCACUGUGUUGGUUAGAUUAGUAGGUUCAGUUUGCCCAAAAAAAAAAAAAAAAAAAAAAUUAAAAAGCACUUAUUGUCCGAUACCAAUAAAAUUCCGACAUCAUCGUGCAUACCUAUUAAAUAUCAUUGCAGCUAUGUUCUAGCUAUUGUACAUAUUAUCCUCCCUUUUUAUAGUGUUUUCAGCUGCUGGUCUGGGGUUGCAGUUCACAUCUCUACAGCUUUUGUCUAUCUUCAGUAGUAGGUAAAUUUUUUUUAGUUUAUAUUAAAGAUCAUUAUUGUUUUUAUUAUGUUAAUAGAACGGAAAGUUACUCAUCAUUUCCACCCUAGGUCUAACCGCACCAUGAUACACGGCCUGUUCAACUAUUUUCAUGGUUUUGAUUCCACUAGACCUGAAGAGGGUUUGGACACGGUCAGGCUGUCUAUCUUCCUUGUUUAUAGUGAGUGUGUGGGACUGCCAGCUCUGGGUUGGGCUUUUCGUUUUCUACACCAUCAUCAAAAAAGCAAAAGCAGAACUUUGGUCUUUGUCUCUCUUCUCCUCCACAACAACAUAAUAGAGCUACUACUGAAUCUGUUCAUCAUAGCGCUGCUUCUUCAGUCUGACAUUUAUAAACAAGUUGGUGUGAUGUGCCCCAUAUUGACUUCUUUAUGGUGGGGAUCAAGAAUGUGUGGUGUUCUCCUCCAGCAGAUGGUCGUGUUGGAGAGAAUUCUUGGUCUAAGGCAUCCGUUCUGCUCUGCUCAUGUUUUCUUUCCUCGCUGCUCCAUCAUAGUUUAUCUCAUUGUGUUAGUUGCUUUUUUUCUGUGUGAAUUUUUUGCACCACUACUACAUCCACUUUUCAGUCUGUUGUCACUGGUACCAGUGUUAGCUGUGAUGGUCAUCUCAUGGAUAAUCACCUGCAGAAACCCCCCUAAUAAACACCACAGCUCCAACAGAACCGAGAAUCAGGAUUACACAGUGUUGGCUUUUGCCACGCUCACAGCGGCUCUGCAUACGAUUAGUAUUGUCCUGUACUUUCGGCGUGUUUGGAGUCUGUGGCUGAUUUGUUUGUGUCUGUUGAGUUUGAGAGUGAUCACAGACGCCCCGCUGUGUGUUCUGAUCUGCAGAGAGAAACACUCAC